GAACGCUGGCGGCAGGCUUAACACAUGCAAGUCGAGCGGGCACUUUCGGGUGUCAGCGGCGGACGGGUGAGUAACGCGUGGGAACGUGCCUUCUGGUUCGGAAUAACUCAGGGAAACUUGAGCUAAUACCGGAUACGCCCUUUUGGGGAAAGGUUUACUGCCGGAAGAUCGGCCCGCGUCUGAUUAGCUAGUUGGUGGGGUAACGGCCUACCAAGGCGACGAUCAGUAGCUGGUCUGAGAGGAUGAUCAGCCACACUGGGACUGAGACACGGCCCAGACUCCUACGGGAGGCAGCAGUGGGGAAUAUUGGACAAUGGGCGCAAGCCUGAUCCAGCCAUGCCGCGUGAGUGAUGACGGCCCUAGGGUUGUAAAGCUCUUUUACCUGGGAAGAUAAUGACGGUACCGGGAGAAUAAGCCCCGGCUAACUUCGUGCCAGCAGCCGCGGUAAUACGAAGGGGGCUAGCGUUGUUCGGAUUUACUGGGCGUAAAGCGCACGUAGGCGGACGCUUAAGUCAGGGGUGAAAUCCCGAGGCUCAACCUCGGAACUGCCUUUGAUACUGGGUGUCUUGAGUCCGGAAGAGGUGAGUGGAAC
rnacentral:rRNA from 1 species